AACGGGUGAGUAAUACGUGAGUAACCUGCCCUUGACUCUGGGAUAAGCCCGGGAAACUGGGUCUAAUACUGGAUGCUACAUGUCACCGCAUGGUGGUGUGUGGAAAGGGUUUACUGGUCUUGGAUGGGCUCACGGCCUAUCAGCUUGUUGGUGAGGUAAUGGCUCACCAAGGCGACGACGGGUAGCCGGCCUGAGAGGGUGACCGGCCACACUGGGACUGAGACACGGCCCAGACUCCUACGGGAGGCAGCAGUGGGGAAUAUUGCACAAUGGGCGAAAGCCUGAUGCAGCGACGCCGCGUGAGGGAUGACGGCCUUCGGGUUGUAAACCUCUUUCAGCAGGGAAGAAGCCACAAGUGACGGUACCUGCAGAAGAAGCGCCGGCUAACUACGUGCCAGCAGCCGCGGUAAUACGUAGGGCGCAAGCGUUGUCCGGAAUUAUUGGGCGUAAAGAGCUCGUAGGCGGUUUGUCGCGUCUGCUGUGAAAGCCCGGGGCUUAACCCCGGGUGUGCAGUGGGUACGGGCAGACUAGAGUGCAGUAGGGGAGACUGGAAUUCCUGGUGUAGCGGUGGAAUGCGCAGAUAUCAGGAGGAACACCGAUGGCGAAGGCAGGUCUCUGGGCUGUUACUGACGCUGAGGAGCGAAAGCAUGGGGAGCGAACAGGAUUAGAUACCCUGGUAGUCCAUGCCGUAAACGUUGGGCACUAGGUGUGGGGGACAUUCCACGUUUUCCGCGCCGUAGCUAACGCAUUAAGUGCCCCGCCUGGGGAGUACGGCCGCAAGGCUAAAACUCAAAGGAAUUGACGGGGGCCCGCACAAGCGGCGGAGCAUGCGGAUUAAUUCGAUGCAACGCGAAGAACCUUACCAAGGCUUGACAUAUACCGGAUCGUUC
rnacentral:rRNA from 1 species